rnacentral:piRNA from 1 species
UGUGAAUCUGACAACAGAGGCUUACGACCCC